rnacentral:rRNA from 1 species
GACGAAUGCUGGCUGCGUGCUUAACACAUGCAAGUCGAACGGUGAAAGGGAGCUUGCUCCCUGGAUCAGUGGCGAACGGGUGAGUAACACGUGGGCAACCUGCCCCUCACUCUGGGAUAACUCCGGGAAACCGGGGCUAAUACCGGAUACGACCUGGUGCGACAUCGCACCGGGUGGAAAGAACUUCGGUGAGGGAUGGGCCCGCGGCCUAUCAGCUUGUUGGUGGGGUAACGGCCCACCAAGGCGACGACGGGUAGCCGGCCUGAGAGGGCGGCCGGCCACACUGGGACUGAGACACGGCCCAGACUCCUACGGGAGGCAGCAGUGGGGAAUAUUGCGCAAUGGGCGAAAGCCUGACGCAGCGACGCAGCGUGAGGGACGAAGGCCUUCGGGUUGUAAACCUCUUUCAGCGGGGACGAAGCGAAAGUGACGGUACCCGCAGAAGAAGCACCGGCUAACUACGUGCCAGCAGCCGCCGUAAGAC